CUGAAUUGGAAUUGAGUGAUGA
rnacentral:siRNA from 1 species